rnacentral:rRNA from 1 species
CUGCUCCUAGUACGAGAGGACCGGAGUGGACGCAUCACUGGUGUUCGGGUUGUCAUGCCAAUGGCACUGCCCGGUAGCUAAAUGCGGAAGAGAUAAGUGCUGAAAGCAUCUAAGUACGAAACUUGCCCCGAGAUGAGUUCUCCCUGAGACUUUAGGUCUCCUGAAGGAACGUUGAAGACGACGACGUUGAUAGGCCGGGUGUGUAAGCGCAGCGAUGCGUUGAGCUAACCGGUACUAAUGAACCGUGAGGCUUAACCUUACAACGCCGAAG